rnacentral:rRNA from 1 species
UAAGAGGUCCCGCCUGCCCAGUGACUGAUUCAGUUUAACGGCCGCGGUAUUCUGACCGUGCAAAGGUAGCGUAAUCACUUGUCUUUUAAAUGGAGACCUGUAUGAAUGGCACAACGAGGGCUUAGCUGUCUCCUCUUUCAAGUCAAUGAAAUUGAUCUCCCCGUGCAGAAGCGGGGAUAACAACAUAAGACGAGAAGACCCUAUGGAGCUUUAGACACCCAGGACAGCCCAUGUUUAAACAACCCUAAAUAAAUGGAUUAAACCAAAUGAGACCUGCCCUCUGUCUUCGGUUGGGGCGACCAUGGGGAAACAAAAAACCCCCACGUGGACUGGGGACACAUACCUCCCACCCCCUCCCCACAAACAAGAGCUACAACUCUAACAAACAGAACUUCUGACCAAAAAUGAUCCGGCAACGCCGAUCAACGGACCAAGUUACCCUAGGGAUAACAGCGCAAUCCCCUUUUAGAGCCCAUAUCGACAAGGGGGUUUACGACCUCGAUGUUGGAUCAGGACAUCCUAAUGGCGCAGCCACUAUUAAGGGUUCGUUUGUUCAACG